AUGAAGGAUGCUUCUUUUCACCUGUCUUUCUACAGCUGUGAUGGAAAAAUAAGAUUCAUGCAAAUCAUAUUAGGAAUGACAAAAGUAGAGCUGGACUCUGCCUGGAAGAUUACAAGAGUCUAUAAAAAGAAGUGUGGUGUAAGGAGCGUGAAUAGGGAUGGAUUUUUUGUUGUCUCUUCUGAUACAAGAGCUAUGCCAUCAGAUGGUAGGUUCAAAAUACAUGAAGGACGAUUCACCACCUUGACAUACAGCACGCACUUAGCCACAGAAUGGCCUGCCACAAGAGGUUGACAGUUUAGACAGGCUUAAGAAGCAACUGAACAAAUUCACAGAAGAAAAAAUAAGCACACUGAGGACUGUUAAGCACCAAAAUACUACCUUUAGCUCAGAAUGUCACUGAGUCACAAACUGCUGUAGGCUGGGGAAUUGCUAUGGAAAGUGUUUCAAUACGUGCUUCUCUUGCUCUUAUACCCUUCCUGCAACAUAUUUUGGUCACUGCUGAAUAUAGACUAUUUGACUAGAUGAACACUAUCUGACAGAGCAUGGGCAUUCUCGUGUUCUUCAUGUCUUGUGUCAGCCACUGAACUUCCACGACUGAACUUCAGCUGCUGAACUUCAGACAUUUACUGCACAUAGGGACUCCUGUCUCACCUCUAUGGGCAAAUGCUUUAGGUUUAAAAAGCAGGCAUUGUUUUGAACGCGCUGUGGAGAUCAUUCACACUGUCCUGUUCCAAAUACUUCUGUUAGGGACAUUGCUUAGCAGCUAUUGUCUGCUAUGUUUCCCCUAUGGCAACAGAGGGGAGGUCCUGCCCUGGGCCCUGAGCUGGGCACGGUCCUGGAGCCCAUGGUCUAACAAAGAAACCUCGGGGGAGUCCUUCUCUCUUCAGUGAUUAAAAGGAGAGUCCUGGGAACCUGUCUUUACCAGGUUAAAGUUAAUAAUCAUGAAUGCACUUCUGACAUAUUCAGAACUGCUUAAAUGCCUAAAUCCUGCAGACUUCCAUGAGUAGGGCUAUCAACAUGACUAACCUCAUUGGGUUUAGUCUCUGUAGUCACUCACAUGCAAAUCUUAUAUGUAUGUUUCAAAUAAAAUACAAAGUCAGAAUAAUAUUAAAAAUAAA
rnacentral:lncRNA from 1 species